CAAAUUUUGUUUCGACGAAUUCAGAUGAUAUCGACUCUUUCAAAUCAUCUAUCUCAAGUGAACACUCGUCUGUAUGGUCUAGAUCGAGUACUGUUUCGGUUUCCUCGUCGCAACCAAGCAUAAGUGAUACUACUGUCGGUACACAUAUGGAAUUAACUACCUUAGUUGCACAAAUGGAUAACGACAACAGGACAGUGGCAAAUGAAACUACAAAUGAUGGUUUAAUUUAUAGUAUCAUUUUUUCAUUAGUUCCAGCCUCUGUUGCAUUGGCCAUUCUAAUAAUAAUGGCAGUACUAAUAACUGUAGUAAGAAGACGAAGAAGGGAGAAAGCCCAUCCAAAAAGUAAUGGACUUCAAAUCGAGCUUGGCGCACUACCACCAAUUAUUGAAUAUGAAAAGAAGUCAUACGAUAACCAAAGGAAUUAUUUGAAGACACAAGAUAAAGGCAAUCCGGAUUGCCAAAUUUAUGAUGAAGCGAACAAUCAAUAUCAACAUCUUGAUUUUAAUGUACGAAGUAAAGAGUCAAAAUGUUUCGAAGCGGAAUACGGUUAUGCUAUGGCAACAACGUCGUUUUUGAAGCCAGACCAAAAGAAUUCAUCCACCAAUAGUGCAUUGAAAAUCGCCACGGCAAAACGUGCAAAAAUGCUAAGAACAUCAUUACAAUUUCUCCAAAGCCAGUUUACAAAGCAGAGGUCUGAAAAAGAAAAUGUGGCAUAUUGUGACACUGCAAUAGUGCACACCAAAUUCCUGUAUGACACACCACAACAAUCUACAAAGCAUGUCAACAAACAUUAGUACACUGUAUUUAGUCUCAGCAAUUACAAAAGCAUGCGUGUGUCAUCGAAAGCAAUGUUAUUUUGAAUCAGGAGCUAUUUUGAAAUACAAAUUUUAUUUUUUAAGUAGGAUCUGUUUACCGUUCCGGAGCACCUGAUAUCACUCCCAUUUUUUAGUGGAGUUUGCUUUUCUCAGUUGUUAGUAUUCUGUGUAGUUUUUUUAUGGACUGCUGUUUGUUUUUUGUCACCAUCGAUUAUGCCAUAAUAAUUUCUGUAUUUUUAGACUUAUAAUGUUUGUAUAGUUCCUU